CAGUAGCCGCGGUAAUACGUAGGGUGCAAGCGUUAAUCGGAAUUACUGGGCGUAAAGCGUGCGCAGGCGGUUUGUUAAGACAGAUGUGAAAUCCCCGGGCUCAACCUGGGAACUGCAUUUGUGACUGGCAAGCUAGAGUGUGGCAGAGGGGGGUGGAAUUCCGCGUGUAGCAGUGAAAUGCGUAGAUAUGCGGAGGAACACCGAUGGCGAAGGCAGCCCCCUGGGCCAACACUGACGCUCAUGCACGAAAGCGUGGGGAGCAAACAGGAUUAGAUACCCGUGUAGUCCCUGUCUCUUAUAC
rnacentral:rRNA from 1 species